rnacentral:misc_RNA from 1 species
GGAAGGUGAACAAGAUUCUCUGAAUAAAUAUGGGCAAGACUUGUGGGAGAGACGAACUCGUCGGUAACUAAGUAGUCAAUGUAAGUUGCACCAGUUGUGCCCGGGAAUCCCAUGUAUGAAACUUGGAUUGGUGCAGGUUGCAUUGCGAAGAUUUCAUUCCUUGCACCCUUGGUGUAACCAUUGAGGUUGAUUAAGAUCUGUAUCUUAUCAUCAUUUAUCAUUCGGGCAAUCAUAUCAGAAGACA